UACGGGGGGGGCAAGCGUUGUUCGGAAUUACUGGGCGUAAAGGGCGCGUAGGCGGCCUGCUAAGUCGGAUGUGAAAUCCCUCGGCUCAACCAAGGAAGUGCAUCCGAAACUGCUAAGCUUGAGUACUUAAGAGGAUCGCGGAAUUCCCGGUGUAGAGGUGAAAUUCGUAGAUAUCGGGAGGAACACCAGUGGCGAAGGCGGCGAUCUGGGAAGAUACUGACGCUGAGGUGCGAAAGCGUGGGGAGCAAACAGG
rnacentral:rRNA from 1 species